UUCACAUUAUACUGAAAAAAUGACAUUUAUCAGCAUGGCUGGGUGUUAGGGAAGUCUAUUAAUGGAAGCAGUAUGCAACUGUACAGAGAUGGUAUUUAGCAACAAGCACAUAAAGCUUUUCUUCCAUUAAAAUGCUGCUUCGGGCAAGAAUGCAUUGCUUGAUUAGUUUUUUGGAGAGCAGUUUUUCAUUCAUAAUGAGAACACAUAUCUCAGCCACUGUUAUUAGUGAGAACAUGCUCUAAAAUGAAAAUAGAGAGAAGGCAAAGCCAGGAAGCUGUCAGGGCAACGUUAAACAGCAUCACAUCUUGACAAGGUGAGCUGUCAAGAGCAUUUUGGCACCAUAGGAAGCACGUGCUGUGCAAGAGUCACUGAUAACAGCAGAGCAGCCAUCCACAUAGCACUCAGGUUGGAUCACUCUUGGUGGUCUUGGUGCUUGCUCCUCCCCAGCAUUUCUCUACUCUCCUCGGCUUUCAGGAUGCCAUGGAUAGAAUUGCAUGUUGCAGGUUUCUGGGGGUUGGAUGCCUGGUUCUCAUCUGUUGACUGAAGAGCCUUGCCAGAAAAGCUAAAAGCAGGAAAUACUACUGGAUAACAUUCACAGAGUUUUGUAGGCAAAGAGAAUGAAGGCUCAUUCUCACCCUGUGGAAUUGCUGAAGAGUUUUCCAAAGCAGAUGAUACCAUUGCCAUCUUUUUCCAGAUCCUUUGCAAACUGUAGCUCUGCAAGUCUUAUUUGGCCCAGACCUCUUUGUUUCCAGUAUUUCUUCUUUCAAUCCCAUUCAUCCAUUAAAAAGCUCCAUUUGGCUGUGCAAGUCUUCCUCUGCUUGGCAAAUUAAAGCUACUUUGUCAAAGAUUA